UAUUGGCUGUGAGGAUUAUUAUUCAGCUUUAAUGCCAGUUCUGCUUCUGAAAAAUCUUGAUUGAUAGAGCUGUUUUAUAUUCUGAGCCUCUA
rfam:Lupinus angustifolius cultivar Tanjil chromosome LG15, whole genome shotgun sequence.